rnacentral:rRNA from 1 species
GAUGAACGCUGACAGAAUGCUUAACACAUGCAAGUCAACUGUGGCGGACGGGUGAGUAACGCGUAAAGAACUUGCCUCACGGAUAGGGACAACAUUUGGAAACGAAUGCUAAUACCUGAUACUGUGAGAGAGCUUUGCGUCCCAUUAGCUAGUUGGAGAGGUAACGGCUCACCAAGGCGAUGAUGGGUAGCCGGCCUGAGAGGGUGAUCGGCCACAAGGGGACUGAGACACAGCCCUGACUCCUACGGGGGGCAGCAGUGGGGAAUGUUGGACAAUGGACCAAAGUCUGAUCCAGUAAUUCUGUGUGAACGAUGAAGUUUUCGGAAUAUAAAGUGCGUUAAGUUGAGAAGCGGUACCAACAGAGGAAGUGACGGCUAAAUACGUGCCAGCAGCCGCGGUAAUAC